UCAUCACCCGGGGAUUGAUAGCGCGCGGGUAUGAAGCCCGUAGUGAUGGGUUGUUCUUUAAUGAUUCGUUCAUUUUGAACAAAUCUUUAAUGUGACUCGGGAAGAACGAGUCGUCUCGGGGAGUGAUUCGUUCAGUCGCGCAUGCGCAACAUCCUAUAGGUUCUGUACUGGAAUUAGUUCACCUGUUUCGAGUCUUCGGGUCUGAGUCAUUCGUUCAUCACGUGACAGUGACAACCCCAUAAGCUUAACCAGUGCAGUCUGAGCCGGAAAGAGAAUUGAUUAGUUCAUCUCUCGAGUCGUUUGGUCUUUUGUCACCUGACCACUUCCCGGAUCAGUACCUCAGUCAUUAAUACUAUAACGUAAAACUGUAUUUUUUGUAUGUUGGAUCAUAUUUAGGAAUUAUCAUAAAAUUAUCAAAAGAUGUGUAAUAAGCAUUUUCCUAGAAAUAUUUGUUACUGUUUCUUGAAGAUCUGUGGUGUUAUUGUUGUUAUUAUUAUUAUAACAACACCACAGAACCUUCAAGAUUUGAAGACUGUUUGUGUGGAAGAAUGGGCCAAAAUCACACCUGAGCAAUGCAUGCAACUAGUUUCUCCAUACAGGAGGUGUCUUGAAGCUGUCAUUACCAACAAAGGCUUUUGUACAAAGUAUUAAAUAAAUUUCAGUAAGCGUGUUCAGUACUUUUUCCCUGUCAUUUCACAUUAUUACACAUAGCUUAAUUUAUGGACAUCUAUGGUUUGUUUUUUUUUUGUUUUGUUUUUUUGUAUGUGUGGAUUGCAUGGGUUGUUACCAACAUCUGGUGAAAAUUUCAUGUCAAUAGCACCUUUAGAAAUAUAUUUACUGAGAAAAAUGGUGACGUGCUCAAUACUUAUUUUACCCUCUGUAUGCUUCAGUACAUUUAAUUCCAAAAUCGUGUAUUGUCUGUUUUACUACUACUGACUGCUUAAGAAUUAUUAGUUCAUGUGGAUAAUACAUUUUGGGAUAAUUUGAGAUUUGGUACAUCCAGGAAGCAGAUAAUGAUGUUUGUUUGUUUAUAUUGUUUAGUUAGGAUUGUACUAUAUUGUAGUGUUGGGUUUGAUUAGAAAAGGUUCACCUCUGUCAAUAUAAAGCUCACAGCUGAUGGUGAGAGAAAAAACAAGUCAUGAGGUUGAAGGAAUUGUCCAGUUUGUCAUUAAGAGGUUUAUUAAACACACAGGGUCAGUAGUGGAACAUCAUCAGCUGGACUCAAAACCCCUAAUCUCUUGUUUCUCAGCCCAGUUCCUAACUAGUGUGUGUGUGUGUGUAUAUGUGGCUGUGUUGUACAUGAUCACAAGAUAGUGUGUUUUCUUUUAAAUCGCACAGAGCCACUUGUAGUUAGCCAGCUGUGGUUAGACACCAUGUUACAGCUACAUCUGAAAAUAAAAAACACUUGGAGAGAGUAAUACUACCAGCGUUGCUAACUCACACAUUUAAAGUGAGAUACACACUUUCAGGCUCUGUCUCACGCUCUCAUGCUGCCCAAGUAAAUCUCACACCAAAUUAAUUAACUAGCCAAUGUACAUAUACAACAUAGUCACGAAUUUGCUCAUAUGAUUAUUUUUUUUUUCCUGUCAGUAUAAAGAAGGUGUGGGGUUUAAUUACACCAGUGAAGCCCCUCAACUUCUUGAUUGGACCAAUCUGAAGCGGCUGGGUUGAAGCAACAUUUCUUCAUUUCUGGAGAAAAGACAGAGGAUAGUGGAUUGGGCAAGAGACCCCCUGAGCUAAUAUUAGGUAGCUAGGUAACUAGCGUGCUAUUUAGAUCAGCAGACGUUUCUAAAAUUGCAUCUAGUACAACUUUAAGCUUAAGCAUUUUGGUAGUUUGCAACAUUAAGAUGAAUUUACAAAAUUAAUUGUUAGUCAAAAAGCAUAUAAUGUAGCUUAUAAAUGUUUUUACAAGUGUAUUUAUAGGUAGCAUACAUGUACUGAUCUAAUUCUCUCUCUUUGACAGAGUAAAGUAAAGUAAAGAAAAGCAAUCCCUAAAAAAGACUGCAGGGGCAGCCACAUACAAUUGCAAAUUCAACCCCCAUGGUCAAAUGAAUGAGCAUUUAUCAAGGCUGGAAGUACACCAUUCAAUUUUUGGUGCACAGUGUGCAGACAUGAACUUGAAUGUAAGCAUCGAGGCAGAACAGAUGUGCUGCGCCAUGUUAACAGGGAGUCGCACCUGGAAAAAGUACAAACUCUGGAGAGCUGUUCCAAACUGGACAAAUACACCUUGCCAAGAACAAGUGAAAUGGCCCAGCUCGAGGCACAGACCAGAAGACCUGAGGUUAAGAUGGCAGUCACCAUGGUGCAGCACAACAUUCCACUGACUUUCUCUGACCACUUGAGCCCAUUCCUCAGAGUGUUUCCCUCACAGUUUGCCCAAAGAUAUUCUUCUGCCAGGACUAAGACCAGCGCCAUAAUCAACAAGUGUAUAGCCCCCUAUCUUACGAAUGAACUAGAGAAGAACCUCUGCAAUCAGCUUUUACAUUAGCGACUGAGGGUUCCAAUGAUACUGGAAGACAGAAGAUGAAUCCGAUCACUGUGAAACUAUGGAGUUUUGAAGGCGUGGUUCACAGAUUUCUGGAUAUGGGCCUAAGUACAGGGACCAACUGCUGCACUGCAGAGGCCAUGUUUAGUAAAAUGCAUGGGAUGCUGCAAAGAUACAACAUCCCAUGGACCAGUUGUGUGGCUCUUGCAGUUCACAAUGCCAGUGUCAACAUGGGUAUCAGAAAUUCAGUUAGGAGCAGGGUCCUGGACCAGAAUCCUUCUGUAUUUGUCCAAAGCUGUCAGGCAUUGAUAUUGAGGAUUUUUGUAUUGAUCUUGUAUACUGGUUCAAAUCCAGAAGAGAAAGAACAUGCUUGAUGGCAAGUUGUCCUUGCACAACAAAUUUAUUGUACUUUGCCAUUUCUGGAUCUCACAAAAUUCCCAAUCGUUUAUUGAAGGGCCAUAAUACUCAUAAUACUUAAAUUUUUAUAUUAUAUAUAAUUAUAUAUAUUUUUAGAGUUCUGUGUGUUUUGUGACAAAGUACAUGAAGGUACUGCAGCAUUUGAGCAUUAGGUGGCUCAGUUUGGACCUAGCUACGAACUGUAUACUCCAUCUCUACAAUGCUCUAAAGUGCUACUUUAGAUCCAUAGUUUUGUAAAAGUUCAGUUUGAUUAUUAUUUGCAUAAAUAAUGAAAUUAAUGUACAGAAGGACGCUAUAGCUGAUGUGGUAACUUUUUCAAUGUUAAAAUACUUUCUCCUACCCCAGCUUAUUAAGCAGAGACAAAUAAGUAAGCUAUUUGUAGGUUAAUUUUCUGACUGUAAACACUGUAUCUCUGUGGCACUAAAAAGUGAAUUGCUUAUUUUCUAAUUUUGUUUGGGGAAGCUAGUUGUGCAGAAAUUACCCACUUCAGCUUUAAUAAACCAUACUUCCUUUGUAUAUGAAAGGUAAGUAAGAUUUUUUUCUCUGUUUUCAGGAUCCAACCAUUGAAGUUCAUCUCCUGUUAUCAAGUACUUCUACCUGUAUUUAUGGAGUUUAAUCUGUUAUUCACGUUCAGUUAGUGUAAUGUGUUUUUGGGAGGUUAAUAUCUCUUUCAGAUAGGGAGUUUCAUAUGAAAGCUGAUGUCAAAGUUCCUGAAGCCUGUAGCUUUCAAGACAGGUUUAGAGACUGCUGACCUUCUAGGACAAGAAAACCAACUGCCAUCUGAAUAAAAGUGACUAGAUACAGGUCCAUAAAUAUUGGGACAGUGACACAGUUUUGGUAAUUUUGCCUCUGUACACCACCACAGUGGAUUUGAAAUGAAGCAGUCAAGAUGUGACUGAAGCGUAGACUUUCAGCUUUAAUUCAAGGGGUUUAACAAAAAUAUUGCAUUAACCGUUUAGGAAUUGCAGCCAUUUUUUACAGAGUUCCUCCAUUUUCACAGGCUCAAAAGUAAUGGGACAAACUAAUAUAAUCAUAAAUAUUAGGAUUAUUUUUAUUACUUGGAGGUAAAUCCUUUGCAGUCCAUGACUACCUGAAGUCUGGACCCCAUGGACAUCACCAAAUGCUGAGUUUCCUCCCUUGAGAUGAUUUGCCAGGUCUUUACUGCAGCCAUCUUCAGUUGCUGCUUGUUUGUGGGUCAUUCUGCCUUCAGAUUUGUCUUCAGUAAGUGAAAAGCAGCUCAGGUGGGUUGAGGUCAGGUGACUGACUUGGCCAUUUAAGAACAUUUAAUUUCCAAGCUCUUCGGCUGCUUUCACAGUAUGUUUUGGGUUGUUAUCCAUCUGUACUGUGAAGCGCUGUCCUAUCAGUUUUGCAGCAUUUGACUGAAUCUGAGCAGAAAGUAUAGCUCUGUACACUUCAGAAUUCAUCCUGCUACUUCUAUCAACAGUCACAUUAUCAAUAAACCCCAGUGACCCAGUUCCAUUGGCAGCCAAACAUGCCCAUGCCAUAACACUGCCUCCACAUGUUUGACGGAUGAUGUGGUAUGCUUUGGAUCAUGAGUCCUUCCUUUCCUUCUCCAUACUUUUCUCUUCCCAUCAUUCUGGUACAAGUUAAUCUUGCAUCAGAACUGGUCAGACUUUUUUUUAGAGGUUUUUUAGCAAAGUCUAAUCUGGCCUUUGUGUUCUUGAGUGUUACCAGCGGUUUGCAUCUUGAGGUAAACCGUCUGUAUUUACAUUCAUGAAGGUGGCUCUUGAUUGUAGACUUUGACAAUGAUAGGCCUACCUCCUCCAGAGUGUUCCUGACUUGGCUAGAUGUUGUGAAGAGGUUGUUCUUCAAUAAGAAAAGAAUUCUGCAAUCAUCCACUUUAGUUGUUUUCUGUGGUCUCCCAGGCCUUUUCGUGUUGCUGAGCUCGUCAGUGCAUUCCUUCUUUUUAAGAAUGUACCAAAUUGUUGAUUUGGCCCUCCUAAAGUUUCUGCUAUCACUCUGAUAGGUCUGUUUUGGUUUUUCAGCUUAAUGAUGGCCUCCUUCACUUGCAUCAACACCUCUUUGGACCGCAUAUUGUGAGUUCCCAUGUACAGCUAAUGCAAAUUCAACACUUGGAAUCAGCUCCAGACCUUUUAUCUCCUUAAUUUAUCAUGAUAUAAGGAGGGAACAGGCAACAGCUGGCCAUGAAACUUCUUAUCAGUCAAUUGUCCCAUUACUUUUGAGCCUGUGAAAAUGGAGGAACUCUGUAAAAAAUGGCUGUAAUUC